rnacentral:rRNA from 1 species
UACGUAGGCAGCAAGCGUUGUUCGGAGUUACUGGGCGUAAAGAGUGUGUAGGCGGUGCUCCAAGUCUGGUGUGAAAUCUCCCGGCUUAACUGGGAGGGUGCAUUAGAAACUGGAAUGCUAGAGGAUGGGAGAGGUAAGCGGAAUUCCUGGUGUAGCGGUGAAAUGCGUAGAUAUCAGGAGGAACACCGACGGCGUAGGCAGCGCCCUGGCCGUUUCCUGACGCUGAAGCACGAAAGCUGGGGGAGCAAACAGG